rnacentral:rRNA from 1 species
UUGACGGUACCUCGCUAGAAAGGGGCCGCUAACUGCGUGCCAGAAGCGUCGGUAAGACGUGGGCCCCGAGCGUUAUCCGGUGUUACUGGGCGUAAAGAGUCGUGUAGGCGGUUCGAAAAGUUACCUUUUAAAUCCCAAUGCUCAACAUUGGAACUGGAGGUAAUACUCUCGAACUAGAGUUUUCUACGGGGUGAAUGGAACUGUGGGAGGAGUAGUGAAAUGCGUUGAUCCCCACGGGAACACCAGCGGCGAAGGCGGUUCACUGGUAGAAGACUGACGCUGAGACACGAAAGCUAGGGUAUCGAAGCAGAUUAGAGACCUGCGUAGUCCUAGCCGUAAACGCAUGCUUGCUAGCUGCAUUUCCGCCCCUUCGGGGGUUAGGUGUGGCGAAGGUAACCCGUUAAGCAAGCCGCCUGGGGAUUACGGUCGCAAGACUAAAACUCAAAGGAAUUGGCGGGGAGGCACACAACCAGUGGAACAUGUGGUUUAAUUCGAAACAAACCGAAGAACCUCACCUGGGUUUGACAUGUAGCUGCUCAUCCUAUGAAAGUAGGACUCCUUCGAGGGUGCUACACAGGUGCUGCAUGGCUGUCGUCAGUUCGUUCCGUGAGGAGUGCCCUUAAGUGGGACAACGAACGCAACCCCCAUCGUAUGUUAUAUCUGUCAUACGAAACUGCCUUGCCGUUGGCGAGGAGGAAGGAGGGGCAGACGUCAAGUCUGCAUGGUCCUUAUGCCCAGGGCUACACACAUGUUACAAUGAGAAGGAACAAUGAGCAUUGCGAACUCGCGAGGGUAAGCAAAUCUCAGAAAUCUUCUCUCAGUGGGGAUUGGAGUCUGCAAUUCGACUCCAUGAACGCGGAAUUGGUAGUA